rnacentral:rRNA from 1 species
GUGACAAACCGGAGGAAGGUGGGGAUGACGUCAAAUCAUCAUGCCCCUUAUGACCGGGGCUACACACGGGGACAAUGGACAGAACAAAGGGCAGUGAAACCGCGAGGUUAAGCCAAUCCCACAAAUCUGUUGUCAGUUCGGAUCGCAGUCUGCAACUCGACUGCGUGAAGCUGGAAUCGCUAGUAAUCGCGGAUCAGCAUGCCGCGGUGAAUACGUUCCCGGGCCUUGUACACACCGCCCGUCACAAAACGAGAGUUUGUAACACCCGAAGUCGGUGAGGUAACCUUUAUGGAGCCAACCUAACCCUUAGUUGUUUCAACUUC